AUACUUACCUGGCAGGGGAGGUACCAUGAUCACGAAGGUGGUUUUCCCAGGGCAAGGCUUAUCCAUUGCACUGUGGGUGUGCUGACCCCUGAGAUUUCCCCAAAGGUGGGAAACUCGACUGCAUCAUUUGUGGUAGUGGGGGACUGCAUUCGCCCUCUCCUCUA
rnacentral:snRNA from 1 species